CCAACUUACAGCAAGCUCAAAACCAAAUACUACUACCACAGCUGGUGCUUUCUUUCAAAUGCCACCUCCUGGCUGGAGGCCAAUCAACUCAGGCCAUAACAGCAACUCUCAGCAGACUAACACUGCUUCCAUGAAGGAAAAAAAAACAGCUAAUACCACCACCUGCAAUAUCCUGGCUAACCAGAGGUCCUGAGUCUGUCCACAUGACAACUUCACUGCUCACAUAACCAGCAUUCAAGAAAGCCAGCACACUAAGCCUAUCUACAACCAAGGAAUCUCAGAGCCUACAUCACUCCCCAAUCACCUCAUCAGAGCAGGUGCUGGUAUCCACGGCUGGGAGACCUGAAGACUGGCCACAUCACUGGACUCUUUGUAGACAUUCCUCAGCACCAGCCUGGAGCUUGGUGGUCUUACUGGGUGGCUAGACCCAGAAGAGCAUUAACGAUCACUGCAGUCUCACUCUCAGGAAGCCCCAUACCUAGAGGAAGUGGUAGAGCAUCACAUCACGGGAUCACCCUGUGGGACAAAAGAAUCUGAACAGCAGACCUUGAGUUCCAGAUCUUUCCACUGGUAGGAAGUUUCUCACAGCAGAGUUACAAUUGCAGUACUUCGUGCUGUAGGAAAAGUCUGCACCUGUACCCCAAAAAGAAGGUAGUAUCUGUGAUCGUGAAGGACCUUGGAAAAGGAAUCCUUGUUUCCCUCUGGCACUCCACUGCAGACACAGCUGGAGUUUCUCCCACAGGAAUGCGGCAUACAGGGACCUAUAGACAGCCUUCCUGGAACAAGCCAGGGUGAGCACAGCCCUACAGGAGGAGUACCACCAAGAUUCAAGCCUCCACAAGAGACAGAGUCACCAUUCCUCUCUACUUGGAAUAUCAAAAUUCACAUAGAUGAAAAGAUGUUCCUGUCUCACCUGAAUAGCUUAAACUCUGCGUCAGCAAUGAGGCUGUGAGUGUGAAACUACAACUGUGUUUAUAAGGAGGAUGCCACUGGAAAUGAAUUCUGCUCAAAGAAUGAACUCUCUACACACAUCAUCUUUCUCUCACAGACAUCAUACCACCUCAAGCACUGCAGCCUCAAAAGGGGAAAUUCCUGAGUGAUUCUUCUUGAAGCUUAAAUUCUGUGGGAUUUUUAUGGUGGAAAACUUAGGAGAGGAACCAGACAGCCCAUCUAGGAGCUGAUACUCUUCUAGUGAAGACCACCCUUGCAGGAAAGCAUCUGUCCUCCCAGAAUCCGGAUGUUAGGUUUGAGAAUUUACUAAUGUGUGACUUCUCUGAAACAAUUUAUUUAGGAAAAAAGGUUGAAUAAAUAUAUACUCAAUAAAAGUAUUGCAAAAAUUAAAUAAAUCACAUAGGUAAAGGUUGUCUAAAUGGGAAAUUCCUUCAGACAAACAGGGAUUUUUAAUUGUGACCACCAUUGUGUUUGUUAUCCAUUGCCACAGUCAUCUGGGACAGAAUGCAAUCACAAACUCCUUACUGACUUAAGAAAACAAGCAUUUACUUAAUCCAAACAUAGGUCUGAGGGAGGCCGAGCCAUUUUUCUGCUCUCAGCUGGGCUCACUCAUGAAUCUGCAGCUACCAAUGUGAUCCAGGCAGCUCAACACAUGGAAGGUGGGCUUGCUGGGCAGUGCCCCCUGGUCUCAGCUGGAGGAACCAGUCUCCCCCAUGGUGUGUGUCAUCCACCAACAGGAUGUCCCAGGCUUGGUUUCAUGCUGACGGUGAUUUAUCAACACUGUAAGCAGAACCGUGAAAGGUGUCUUGAGGCCAGGUGCAGGAGCAACACAGUGUCCCCUCAGCUGCAUUGUCUUGGUCAAAACUAGCCACGAGGCCAGCCCAGAUUGGAAAUAUGAGAAGGAGAAGCAACUUCUUGAUGGCAAGACCUGCAAAGUCACAUUGCAGCGGGCAUGGAUACCCUCAGAGGAUUCAAAAAUUGUGGCUGCUUUUGAAAUCAAUCCACUACAUUCAUUAAAUAUAAUAUGUAUAUCAAAGGAUCACAGAAUAAAAUAAAUUUAAAUUGGAUGAAUACUGUCGCUGGAAAGAAGAUAAUAUUUUGGAGAAGACAGACAGUCUUGAAUCUGCCAUGGCUCAUAAC
rnacentral:lncRNA from 10 species